CUAUUAUGAAAGCAAUCUUAUAGCCAACUGUGCAAAUGCAGGUUUAACGUAUGUAAACAAUUCUGGAAAAAUAGUGAAACAGAAUACUGAUAUUAAAGGGGCAUUAUACUGUCAUAUCGAUUGUCGAGGAAAUAUGUAUUCUGCUAAGACGAACGAUGAAAGCAUAAAUAUACCAGUUAACGAUUAAUAUACAAUUUCAUCGGUGUAGAUAAUCCGGCAGGACUUACAACCGACAAAGACAAUAAUUUCUCUGUUGCAUGUAAUAACAAUGACACAAUUUUUGUUAACCCGUCGCGUCACACACGUUCCAGAGUAGUAUUAGGGAGAUCAGAUGGCAUUGAUCGCCAAUUUAGUUUAGACUACAAUCAUCAAAGCGACGAACUUCUAGUAGUAAAUAACACUGCACAUUCAAUAUUCAUAUUUAAGAAAUGUAAACGGGUUUGUGAUACUAGAUAACGUUAUGCUUGCUCUACGUUUACUGUGUGUAAAUAGUUACUCUUGAGUGUAC
rnacentral:lncRNA from 1 species